rnacentral:lncRNA from 1 species
UGAUAUUAGUUAUGUUUUUGGCUUGUUAUAAAGUGAAUUGAUUGUGAUGUGUUGUGAAGUGAAUUGAUUGUGAUGUGUUGUGAAGUGAAAUGAUUGUGAUUAAGGAUUGAUGACUUUUGUAUGGAUAUUGUGUGAUCGGGAAAGCUGAGCCGGGCGGAUAGCUACCCGAGUAUGUGAGAUGGCAAGACUGAGCCGGGCGGAUAGUCUUGUCAAGUGGUUACUGAAAUUUAAAAAUGUGAGGAAAUGUAAGGAUGAGUCAUCUGAUCCUAAUUUGAUAGAAAUAAUGUGGAAUUGAAUUAUUUGACUUGGUUGAGUUUGAGAUUAUUUGCAUUACGUGAGAUGAAAUUAUAUGUUUAUGAGAAUAACUGAAAUGGUUGAUUUUGUGAUUGUUAGUUAAGUGUUGGUAUAAUUUUCUGUAUUGAUAAAGAUUUGAUAAUUCUAGCCUAAUAUACUAUAGUUUAGUAAAUUAAAUG